GAAGGAGGAGCUUGCUUCUCCGGAUGAGUUGCGAACGGGUGAGUAACGCGUAGGUAACCUGCCUGGUAGCGGGGGAUAACUAUUGGAAACGAUAGCUAAUACCGCAUAAGAGUAGAUGUUGCAUGACAUUUGCUUAAAAGGUGCAAUUGCAUCACUACCAGAUGGACCUGCGUUGUAUUAGCUAGUUGGUGGGGUAACGGCUCACCAAGGCGACGAUACAUAGCCGACCUGAGAGGGUGAUCGGCCACACUGGGACUGAGACACGGCCCAGACUCCUACGGGAGGCAGCAGUAGGGAAUCUUCGGCAAUGGACGGAAGUCUGACCGAGCAACGCCGCGUGAGUGAAGAAGGUUUUCGGAUCGUAAAGCUCUGUUGUAAGAGAAGAACGAGUGUGAGAGUGGAAAGUUCACACUGUGACGGUAUCUUACCAGAAAGGGACGGCUAACUACGUGCCAGCAGCCGCGGUAAUACGUAGGUCCCGAGCGUUGUCCGGAUUUAUUGGGCGUAAAGCGAGCGCAGGCGGUUAGAUAAGUCUGAAGUUAAAGGCUGUGGCUUAACCAUAGUACGCUUUGGAAACUGUUUAACUUGAGUGCAAGAGGGGAGAGUGGAAUUCCAUGUGUAGCGGUGAAAUGCGUAGAUAUAUGGAGGAACACCGGUGGCGAAAGCGGCUCUCUGGC
rnacentral:rRNA from 1 species